rnacentral:misc_RNA from 1 species
CUGAAUUGUCAAACAUGGGUUGUUGCUGGCCCUCAAAAGGGGCACGUGCACGCUCUGUUUACACAUCCACUCACACCUGUGCACCCUCCGUAGUUCUGUGGUUUGGGGGACGCUGUCUUCCUUCCGUGGCUCUACGUCUUUACACACACACUGUAGCGAUGUCUCAUGGAAUGUUUUUGUGCGUUUAACGCGAUACAAUA